rnacentral:rRNA from 1 species
GAUGAACGCUGGCGGCGUGCCUAAUACAUGCAAGUCGAGCGAACCACUUCGGUGGUGAGCGGCGAACGGGUGAGUAACACGUAGGUUAUCUGCCCAUCAGACGGGGACAACGAUUGGAAACGAUCGCUAAUACCGGAUAGGACGAAAGUUUAAAGGUGCUUCUGGCACCGCUGAUGGAUGAGCCUGCGGCGCAUUAGCUAGUUGGUAGGGUAAAGGCCUACCAAGGCGACGAUGCGUAGCCGGCCUGAGAGGGUGAACGGCCACACUGGGACUGAGACACGGCCCAGACUCCUACGGGAGGCAGCAGUAGGGAAUCUUCGGCAAUGGGCGAAAGCCUGACCGAGCAACGCCGCGUGAAUGAUGAAGGCCUUCGGGUUGUAAAAUUCUGUUAUAAGGGAAGAACGACUUUAGUAGGAAAUGGCUAAAGUGUGACGGUACCUUAUGAGAAAGCCACGGCUAACUACGUGCCAGCCGCCGCGGUAA